rnacentral:rRNA from 1 species
UCGAUUAGCAUGCGAGUCCAGAGCUUUCGGAGCUCGGCGUACCGCUCAGUAACACGUGGGUAACCUAACCUAUGCAGGGGAAUAACCUCGGGAAACUGAGUAUAAUGCCCCAUAGUCCACUACGCCUGGAACGGUGAGUGGAUCAAAGCUCAGGCGGCAUAGGAUGGGCCUGCGGCGUAUCAGGUUGUAGGGGGUGUAAAGUACCCUCUAGCCAUCUACGCGUACGGGUGUUGGGAGACAUAGCCCGGAGAUGGAUUCUGAGACACGAAUCCAGACCCUACGGGGUGCAGCAGGCGCGAAAACUUGACCAAUGCGAGCAAUCGUGAUCAGGGAACUUCCAAGUGGGCUGGGGUAAGACCCAGUCUUUUCAUAACUCUUCAAAGGUUGUAGAAUAAGGGGGUGGGUAAGGACGGGGCAACCCGCCGGGGAAAACCGGGGCCUCAAGGGGUUGUCGGCUUUAAUUGGGCCUAAACCUCCGGAGCCCGGUUUGGGACCUUCCUGGUUAAAUCCACUGGUCAACAAGUGGAAUUCUGCAGGACGCAGACUGGACCGGAAAGUUGGGUACCUCCAGUAGGGUAAAUCUGCAUCUGAAGACACUGUUGCCAAGGC